UGCAUGAACCCGAUUUUCCCUAAACCAAGAGGCUAGGCUAUGGGUUUGGCAAGGAUUUGUGGUGAAGAAGGCCAAGGAGGAAGCUUAGGCCGUGAGUUUUGAAGAAGAAAGGGAAACACGAUCGUUAAGGAAGCUUAAGCGGAAAGCACCAGAGUGUGGAAUACGCCGGCAUUUCCAGGUAGGGUGAGCUGUCCCUUCCUUGUUAGAGGCUUUUCUAUAUGUGGAAUGCUCUAGUAUAUUAAUAUGUUGCCUGCAAGUACGUUUUUGGUUGUUCAUUGGUCGAUGCCUCGUGAUAUCCGUGUUUCCAUAACUGAUAAUUGCUUAUUGUGAAAACCGAGGCUAGACUUGCAUGUUGGGAUACUGUACCCACUGUAUGUUUGUACUUGUGACCUGAAAGUGAAUGGGACCUAGACGCGUAGAUUCCUAGGGAUCCCACGGUGUCGAUAACCGUGAACCUCCGGAGGGGGCCGUGCUCCUAUGUUUGUCGAGAAAGAGUGAGUAUAGACAGUGAACCAGUCAUAUGAGACUCAGGGCCAGGAAAUGGACACUUUCGCUACUUGUAGUCGGAAGUACUACAGAGUAGUUGGCCGGUUCUCGAAGGAUGACGAACCAGGUCGGUCACCGAUUUGUUUUAUUUUAGCCGGCAGGUAAGUAUCUCGG